GCUGUAACCUUGAGGAGUAGCGUUUCAACACGUGAAUUUUCGAGUGGCCCAACCAUUCAGCCCAUAGCGCCAUCCCUUCAUUAAACUCUUUAGCUGAACCGGGGCUCUCUGUUCAUGCCUCUGUGAAGUAGCAAUGGCACCAGAUUCCAAGUUCUGAUGUCCCUUUUGCCUCCUCCUGCCAGUUGGCUUCUUCAGAACAAGGGGCCGUGUUUUAUUCAUCACUGAAUUGUCCGUGACUGGCAUGACCUGGCACAAAAGCCAGAACGCAGCUUCUCUCCGCUGCCAGCCCUCGCAGGAUGGCUUGUUGGGUACACAAUGUUGAACUUGCUGUGUGGUAGCAGCAUUUCCUGCCACCUCUGAUCAGAGUCAUGCCUUCUCUGGAGACCAACGGAUUCCUCUGAGGCUUAGAGAGAGUUCACAGUGAGUUGCUCCACCCGAGCCAAAGAAGGUGUUGAAGAUUAAAAAGGGGUGCAAAAGCCACUUGUUGGAUUCUAUGAGGAAAUCCAACAGAACCAUAGAAAUAGUUACCUUCAUCAGCAGGGCCACACAAACCCCAGAGUAGAGAAAGAAAAGAAACAAAACCCCUAAGAAAUCCUGACCCUCAGCCAGAGGUCAAGGGAAUGUCACUUGUGACCUUUAUUCUUUCAGGGACUCUGUGGGUUCCGUAGAAGCAGAACUGAGAUUAUUAAUAUUAGUUGUGAGGGGCUGGCACCGGGCACAGAGGUCAAAGGGCACCAGAGAGGAGAACACCCUACUAGAUAAAGGCUGACAAUGAAUUCCUUUCCAUUAAACCUGACCCACUAGGUGACCCACUAUGUGCCAGGGCCUGACGCUGAGGUCCUGGCACAUGUGAGGGGCUCUGAAGGCCAUCAUACCUGAGCUUUGCCGAUACUGCAAAGAGGAUGAUUCUAAGGCUCAUCACCUUCCUUCCAAGCGUGCUUCGCCCUGGUGGCCCUCGCCUUGGUCAAGGCACUGCUCUCCACCUCACUGCUGGGGCCAGAAGACUGGGUCUUGUCCAUGUAUCACCUCCAUUACUGUCACAUCCGUCGGCUAGUUGGCAAACCCUAAAGAUUUCACUCCCUAGAUGGUUUUAAAUCCCUCCGUCUGCGGUAGAAAUUCCUAGGUGCUUGGCAUGAGCAGCCAGCCCUUAGGCUAACUGGCCUGUGCCUGGCUCUGCAACCUCAGCUCUCUCAGACCGUCUUUCCUGCUCUUCACCCCAUGCAGGGCUGAUCUAUGAUGCUUCACCAGAGCUGCAGUAGAAAACAGAACCGCAAAGCAAAUAACAAAAAAGGAACAGUGUCUGUAAUAUAUAUGAAAGUGUAAUGAUUUCCGUAUAUGUAAUGUGUAAUAUAUAUAUAUACAGAUAUUGUAUAUAUAUAUAAAACAGCUAUUAUAGAUAAGUAGGAAAAUACAUGAGCAGUCCAAAAAGAUAAAGAGACAUAGGCAUUUUUAAAAGGAAAAUACACUAUAUAGAGAGAAUAAUCAUAAGAGGAAAAGGCUCCACCUCUUAAUUUGUGACAAAAGAAAUACAAAUUAACACAAUGGCAUAUUUUCUGCUUUUGUUGGUGAAGUGAGGGGAGAAUUAGGACCUAUCCUAUGCAGCUGAUGAAGCCCAAACGGGCAAAGAAUUUCUCACGGGAAGCUUGCUGUAUGAAAAACAGUCUUUGACAAAAUGUAUAAAACAUUGACUAAGCAACUACACUGCUAUAAUUUUAUCCUAAGGAAAUCAUUAGUGGAUUGGAAAAUGUUUUCCGUUGGGGGGUGUAUAACAUAGUAUGCAUCUUAAUGGCAAAUAUAUGGCAAUAAUCCAAAGUCUCAACAAUAGGGUAUUUUUAGAGUGAAUUCCAUGCAAUACACUAUGCAUUUAUUUAAAAUGGAAGUGUGGAAGGAUAAUUGUUGACAUGAGACAAAUGUUUAUUGGUAAAUGUCAAGUAAAUGUAAAGUUUAUAAAAAUAUAUGAUGAUACUUUUAUUUUAAAAAUUUAUAUGCAUAAAAUGUCAGGGAGAGUAUACACCAAACUGUAAAUAUUGGUUAUCUCUAGAAUAGACUUACUGGUGAGGAAAUUUCAGGGGAAGCCUUUCUGCAUUUUUCCAUCUUUGAACAAUAAAAGUGAUUUAGUUUGAUAAUAAAAAGUGGCUUUAAAAUAACUCAAACAAAAUUACCAAACUCAGUUAUUUAUUAUUGAGGCCAAAGACUCCAAGCAACUUAAUUUUAAAACCAAAGCCAACCAUUUACUUCAAUCUAGAAGACAUUUAUUUUUCUCCUCUAAGCCAGGAAUGGUUGUCUGCUUGGUGUAGGGAGCAUGGCAUUCAAAUGGUAAUUCACCCAGUUGUUUCAAUAAACCUUGUGAAAUUCCA
ensembl:lncRNA